rnacentral:misc_RNA from 1 species
UUUCCGUAGGUGAACCUGCGGAAGGAUCAUUACAGAGUUCAUGCCCUCACGGGUAGAUCUCCCACCCUUGAAUAUUUAUACCUUAGUUGCUUUGGCAGGCCGUGGAAACACCAUGGGCUCCGGCUUAUGCGUGCCUGCCAGAGGAAACAAACUCUGUUUUUAGUGAUGUCUGAGUACUAUAUAAUAGUUAAAACUUUCAACAACGGAUCUCUUGGUUUUG